rnacentral:lncRNA from 1 species
UAUGCAUUACUAUACAUCAACCUAGUUCCACUGAGGCGAAAUAUUCUUACCAAAAUUUGCUACCGCAAAUGGGGUCUCGAUCAUUGAUAAUGGUAGACGGAAUACCAUGCAAUUUACAAAUAUUUUGAACAAAGGUAUUAGAGACCACUAUGGCAUUGAAACCAAUUGGAAGGAAAGCAAAGUGGGAAUAUUUUGAGAGCCGAUCGACAACCACCAUAAUAGAUGUAAAACCAUGAGAUAGCGGAAGCUUUACAAUGAAAUCCAUAGUCAAGUCUUCCCAUAUUUGUACCCGAAUCUCAAGUGGUUGCAAGGUCCCUGCAGGAGCCAAAGUUUCAUACUUUGUCUGUUGACACACAGGGCAUGUUUGGACAAAAUGCUUAAUAUCUUUUUGCAUACGUGGCCAUUCAAAUUGUCACUAUGCAUGAGCAGUAGUUUGGAAUAUGCCGUUAUGCCUACCAAUAGUUAUGUCAUGUAACUCUAGAAUGAUGUCAACCUUGUGAUUAGAUUCUGAGCUAACCAUGAUAUGAUCCCUUUGCAAAAUCAACCCAUGAUAUAUCCGAUGCAGGGGAAGGAUGCACCAUCUUUGGCAAUGGCUUGCUGCAAUUGAAUUAGGUCAGGUAAUUGAUUGGUCUCUCGUUUCAAUUUUUCAAAAAGCUGAAGUUUUGCCAAUGUUAACAACUUGUUGGAACUUCAGAAGUAGCAUUCUAUUCAUCUUUUAUGGCAAGAGCAUUUGCCACACUAUUGUUGGCUCCCAGAUUGUAGACAAUUUCAAAGUUAAAAACUCUGUUGUUCCAGUGUUUGAAUUGUUUGUGACAUCAAUUCCCCGAUACUCUUGUGAUCCAUUUUCAUAAGAAAUUUUCUGCCCAGAAGGUAUUGACGCCAUUUAGCCAUUGCAUCUGUAAUUGCAUAUAACUCUCGAACAUAAGUGGAAGCUUGCUGCAUUUUGGAAUUUAACUUUUUGCUAUAAUAUGGAAUAGGAUGUGAAGCUUGAAUUAAAACAGUUCUUAUCCCAACCCCUCAUGCAUCAGUUUCUAAAAUAAAUGGUUGCUCAAAGUCGAGUAAAGCUAGCACUAAGGCUUGAGUCGUGGCUGAUUUUAAUUGUUGAAAGGCUUCGUUUGCUGCUAGAGACCAUUUGAAAGCAUCCUUCUGAAGUAAUGAUACAAAACAACGAUAACAACUAGUAAGACCAAGGGAGCUGUGGAUCUGCCGAAUAUUAGCUGGUAUUUUCCAUUGUAACAUGGACUGAAUCUUGGACGUCUCAGAAGCAACCCUGUUAGCUGACAUGAUGUGGCCCAAACAUUCAAUUUGAUUCUAUGCGAAUUUGCAUUUGCUCCUUUUAGCGUACCAAGAAUUGACCUUCAGGCACCCCAACACCAGCGUGAAUGUUCAAC